rnacentral:rRNA from 1 species
UAGGGAAUCUUCGGCAAUGGACGAAAGUCUGACCGAGCAACGCCGCGUGAGUGAAGAAGGUUUUCGGAUCGUAAACUCUGUUGUUAGAGAAGAACAAGGGUGAGAGUAACUGUUCACCCCUUGACGGUAUCUAACCAGAAAGCCACGGCUAACUACGUGCUAG